GUUGAAACACUGGUUCUCGUCCAUUCACUGAAGUUAAGCAAUGUUGAACCUGAUCAGUACCUAGAUGGGUGACCACUUAAAAAUGCCAGGUGCUGUAAG